rnacentral:rRNA from 1 species
CAAUAGCGUAUAUUAAAGUUGUUGCAGUUAAAAAGCUCGUAGUUGAAUUUCUGGCGGGCGCGCCGGUCUUCCAAGUGUUGUACUGGGCGCAGUCCGCCAUCCUUGUGGAGAGGGCUCGCAUUGAGUUGCGUGUCGGAUCUGCAUCAUUUACUGUGAAAAAAUUAGAGUGUUUAAAGCAGGCUGUCGCUUGAAUACAUUAGCAUGGAAUAAUAAGAUAGGACUUCGGUCUAUUUUGUUGGUUGCGAACCGAGGUAAUGAUUAAUAGGGAUAGUUGGGGGUAUUCAUAUUUAAUUGUCAGAGGUGAAAUUCUUGGAUUUAUGAAAGAUGAACAACUGCGUAAGCAUUUACCAAGGAUGUUUUCAUUAA